rnacentral:rRNA from 1 species
AUUGAACGCUGGCGGCAGGCCUAACACAUGCAAGUCGAGCGGAUGAAGGGAGCUUGCUCCUGGAUUCAGCGGCGGACGGGUGAGUAAUGCCUAUGAAUCUGCCUGGUAGUGGGGGAUAACGUCCGGAAACGGGCGCUAAUACCGCAUACGUCCUGAGGGAGAAAGUGGGUGAUCUUCGGACCUCACGCUAUCAGAUGAGCCUAGGUCGGAUUAGCUAGUUGGUGGGGUAAAGGCCUACCAAGGCGACGAUCCGUAACUGGUCUGAGAGGAUGAUCAGUCACACUGGAACUGAGACACGGUCCAGACUCCUACGGGAGGCAGCAGUGGGGAAUAUUGGACAAUGGGCGAAAGCCUGAUCCAGCCAUGCCGCGUGUGUGAAGAAGGUCUUCGGAUUGUAAAGCACUUUAAGUUGGGAGGAAGGGCAGUAAGUUAAUACCUUGCUGUUUUGACGUUACCAACAGAAUAAGCACCGGCUAACUUCGUG